GAAGUGCCUGAAAGUGGCGGAUGGUGCCACCACAGCAGAGCACACCCGCAUGUUGAGCCACGUCCAGGUGGUCUACGUUAGCUCCUUUGUCCCAAGUUCUGCUCAGUCAGGCUCUUGGCUGUGCGCUGUGCGAAUCACUGCCUUUCUUUCACCAGAGCCCGUAGAGAGGUAGGCGUGGUUGGGGCUGCAGUGUAUGGUGAUGCAAGGUGGCACUGCACAAGGGCGUCCAGGUGAGGGGGUGACCAUGGGUCCACAGGCCACGCUCUGCUCAUCAAGCUGUGUGCCUGGCCAAAGGGGCACCUUCUUCUAAUUUGCACAAAGUGCCAUGGAGGUUGGCAGCGACACUGGAGGGUCCUUAUUUGAAAACUGAGGAAACUCGGAUUCAAGGAGGUUAAAUAACUUGCCCAAGGGAAAAAUAAAGGUGGUAAAGGGCAGUCAGGAGUUGUUCCAAGGACAUCUGUGUGGACAUCCAGCAACAGAGCAGGUGCGGAAGCUAUUUUGGGAGAGAGAGAUUGGGCUUUUGGCUACUGCUUGAAUUUUCCUAUUUCCCCACGGGAAGGCUUAGGUUUUCUACAGCAGUGAAGAAUGACAGGGAGGGGAGAGUGGAGACGGUGAAUCUCUAAUGACGUCCCUCUGUCUAGGAUCCCACUUUCCUCAGUGUUCUUGGGGCAGGAGCCGGUGUGCCUCGUAAGGGAUUAGGAGAAGGGGAAAUGUGAGGUCAUAAACCUCCUGAGGGCAAGUAAUGCCCUCCUGACAGAAAAGUGAAGAAGCCCAUUUGUUCAGAAGAAAAUGCCUCCCUGGGAGUUCCUCACCUUGCCAUGUGAAUUAUCUCCUCUUUAUUAGACCUAUGAAGAGGCCGAACAGGAAUACAACAGUGAAUAAGACAGAUGUCCCUGGCCUCACAAGACUAGUAAUUCAAUGGAGAAGACAGAAGUACUGACAGAACACAUCCGAGAGGGCGUAGAAGCGAGGAUCCAGGUCAGCAAUGGCAGGAGCUGGAUUGAACAAUGUUUUCACUGUAAAGGAACGGAAAGGGGCUUCAGUGGUCCUCAUUUUUAACAUGGUGUGUUGACAGACAUUCGCUUCAAGGGCAAGCGUCGGUAUUACAGUCAAGAUGAUUACAAAGUUGUGGCAAAGCGCAAGAAUAUUAAAGAAAAUUUUAAGUGCUGUGGCCUGAAAGGACAUGCAUGAAUGUGAACAUUCAGGCUGGUGAACAUUUUUGUUCAUAAGUCCAUUUUCCAGGAAAGAAAAGAAGUUAGAAAAUAAGUAAUGAAGAGGUCAAAAAUUUCCUGAACAGGGAUGGAGUUUUACAAAAAUGAGAAAGAACGAGUCUUCAGCUCCUAGAGACGUUUAUCAAAAUAUACCUAGCUGGGAAGUCAUCAUACAGGACAUGCGGCUUGACCUCGCUUCUCGGAAAAGCGAUCAUUCCACUGUGGGACCAUGGGCUGCUUCUGAGUGCUGAAAAAUAUUCCAUGGUAUGGACGUUCUGCACUUUAUCCAUUCACCCACCGAAGGACAUCUUGGGUUGCUUCCAAAUUUGGUAUUAGGAGGCUUCACAAAAACAAGUUUCCAGGAGGUCCUGAAAAUUCAGAUGUUCUGGUAACGCUGGGCCCACAUUCCUGCAAGGGAACCCAGCUGGAUCUGCCCCAAAGGUGAGCACCGCGUCAUUGGAUCAUGUAUCUGUCUGGGUCUCGGCCACUCCUGGUGAGUUCUGCCUUUCCACAGAAAAUUGUUCCCCUCUGGAUGUAUCGAUAGAAAGAAACCUAGGAGCUUACUUGGGUCAAGUUCCUCAAUGAGUGAAGAUACAAUUUCCCGGUAAGAUUUUGGAUGGUCUAGAUCAGGGGUUGGAAAAUUUUUUUUUCCAUAAAAGGCUGGAUGGGUAAUAGUUCGGACACUGUUGGUCAGAUGGUCUCUUUUGCAGCGAUUCAGCUCUGCUGUUGUAGUGUGAAAGCAGCCGAAGAAAAUCUGUAAACAAAUGGAUGUAGCUGUGUUCCAGUAAAACUUUAUAAAAACACAUGGUAGGCAAGAUUUGCUCCAUGGGCGGUAGUUUGCUGACCCAAUUUAAAUGCCUCCUCCGAGAGCUUCUUUCUCAAAGAACACUUUUCCCUGUGCUGCUUUUCUGGUAGAAAUGCUGAGUAGGCAAUAAUCUCAAAUAAUAUAUAAUAAUUUCUUCUGAGCAGAAUUCCUGUCUCUACAAAGAAGAGUGUCCACUAUAAAGCACUGCUGUGGGGGAGAGUGCCCGGUGGAGGGAGGUCAUUUGUCAAAGGUUUUCUUGGUGGGAGGCUGGCCAUUUAUCUACCAAAGCAUCCCAUUUCUUAGGUCAAAGAUUCAUACCAGAAACAAACCGUUUUCUCAUCUGUUUUUAAACAUUAUUUAACUCUCUCCCAUGGGCAAUCAAGAUGUGAUAUAGUUGGGAGGGACGCCUGGGUGGCUCAGUCGGUUAAGCAUCUAACUCUUGAUUUCAGCUCAGGUCAUGAUCUCACAGUUCAUGGGAUCGAGCCCUGCGUCAGGCCCUGUGUUGACCGUGCGGAGCCUGCUUGGGAUUCUCUCUCUCCCUCUCGCUCUGCUCCUCCCUGCUCUCUGUCUCUAAAAAUAAAUAAACAUUAAAAAAAAAGAUGUGAUAUAGUUGGGGAAAGCAUCACUACAAGAAUAUUGUAGGGAUUAAAGGAAGGCCAUUCCUCAGCAUGUGGGGCCCGGUACAAAUUAGAGCAAAGAAACUUCUCCCCUUUCCUAUCAGUUUAAUACAGGCAAAAUCUGUUUAAGGUGAACACCAAAGGCAUGUCUGAUAAAUGGUGGUGAUGAUAUAAACAUUUGGAAGUGCAGGGAUUAGGGAGAAUUGUUGGAGAGGAGGAGGCAACCCCAAAACAUUUGGCUUUGCCUUCAAGAAACUGAUAAUACUGCAGGGAAAAGAAGGCGUACAGAGACACCCAUCACCAAGUGGAGUAUCAGGCGCAUCCGAGGCAUAAUGAGGAAGGGAUGGCCUGCUCAGACUUGCCGCAGUGGUAUUUUAGUGGCUGCAGUAGCUGUCUUCUUCUGCUUGGGGAAUCACCUGAUGGGCUGCGUCCCUUGCUGACGGUUAUGGUUCCAGAUUUAUUCCAAUAGUGACUUCCUGGCAAACCUGUUGGCUGGUGUUCUAAGCUCUACGUGAGAGGUGACACAAAAUACUUUGCUUUUGCCUUCUUUGAUAUUCCCAUGACAAAAAUAAAA